rnacentral:rRNA from 1 species
UACGAAGGGGGCUAGCGUUGUUCGGAAUUACUGGGCGUAAAGCGCACGUAGGCGGAACAGAAAGUCAGAGGUGAAAUCCCAGGGCUCAACCUUGGAACUGCCUUUGAAACUCCUGUUCUUGAGGUCGAGAGAGGUGAGUGGAAUUCCGAGUGUAGAGGUGAAAUUCGUAGAUAUUCGGAGGAACACCAGUGGCGAAGGCGGCUCACUGGCUCGAUACUGACGCUGAGGUGCGAAAGCGUGGGGAGCAAACAGG